AUGUACCACUCUUACACUGCGGUUCUGAGCGCGCCGUCCGCACCCACCUGACGACUGCCCGCUACGUGUUGGUAGCC
rnacentral:sRNA from 1 species